AGGGGAAGUCUAAACUAACAAGAACUGCUAACUCCUGUAUCCGAGCCUAAAACCUCGGUCCCCUU
rnacentral:tRNA from 1 species